AUGGUGAGGAGCCAGUUUUCAUGAAGGGUCAGGAUUUUCUAGUUUUUGAGCAUUCAAAGAGGAUUUGGGGUGCCCCUGGAACUAGCAAUGGAGUUAGCACUAAUGGCACAGCUAAAAUUACUGUUGAGGUUAAGAAGAGUUCUGAACCUAAGAGAAGUGCUAAAGUCAGCAAACCCAAGGAUGAUGAGAAACAUGUUGUUGUAAAAGAGGUGGUUAAGGAGGAUAUAAUUAAGGGUGAUCAACAGGAUUUCCAGUCCGAAUAUCCACAUUUGACUGCUUCAUUUGAAAGUAUGGCUGGCAUGUCUACAAUGUAUCCGAAUGGAACAAAUUUUUUAAAGGAGAAGAUGAGUUUGAUUGCUAAUAACAAGGCUAAAGUGUUGGAGAAGAAGUGGAAGAAACUGGAGGAUGACGAAGCUGCCUUGAUGGUGAACCGCUUAGAUUUGAUUGCGGAGCAUUACAGAUUGGUGGUCGAUGCAAUGAGAGGUAACUAGAUGCUGAUGGAUCAUGUUCUAUUCGAUGCUACAAGUUCUGAUACUGUUUCGGUGGAGUUUUAGAUUUUGUUUCAUAGUCUUGUUUCUCAAGACAAUUUCUUCUCGCGUUGAUGUACUUAUGUUUAGUCCGCGAGGUAGAUUUAGUUUAUCAAGUUGAUUCAUACAUUUUAUUGCUUAAUUAGUUUUACUAGUGAACUGGUUUGGAUGAUAUCCGCUGUGUUGCUUCUUAUAUAUGUUAGUGUGGUAUGGAGUGAUUGGCUCUAUUAUGGGGUUGCAAUGAAAUGCCUACACAUUCCUAUCAUAUAAUGCCGUGUAUGGUGGAAGCAAGCUUAGGAAUAGCUUAAGUGGAAUGUCUGGAGACAUUCUGGUUCAUCCUUUGUAAUAUGUCAUUUCCUAAACCAGAUGGAAAUAUAUUUAAAUGCGAUCUUUCUCAGUUUUUGCAGCUUGUGUUGAUUUACUUUGUUCUCAAUCAUUGUUCAUGCCAGCUUAUCAUACCGGUUAAUUGAUUUGGGGAGGGGGUGGUGGGUUAUUUACAGUUUCCUCGAGAUAUUUCUUUUGGUAUAGAGUGCAAUGUUGUUUCCUGCUUCUUAGGUGUUUCCUUUAACUGCUUAUUCUCUAUUCUUUCCUACUGAAGAUAUUCUGCAGCGCAUGAAUACUCACACAACCUUUUAUAUGUGUGUGCAUGUCUACACACUUGCAUUUAUCUUCAUUCAAUCAACUAUAUUUCAAUUCUGAAAUCAUUGAGGUCAGUUAUUAUAUGAAUUGUCAAUAUCCAUUCGUUUUGUUCAGGUCCAUUGCAUUCCUAUACUGAUUAAUUAGGUCUUAAAAGACAAAUUAGGGGUUUCCUAAAUCUCCCACACAUUUCUAUGGUAUCUAUUGUCUAGUUUAAUCUCAACUGUUUGGCAUAACUAAUGCAGAUCUCUUGGUUUGAUUGUGUUCUGUUUUUAACCAAGUCUACAUGGAUUUCAAAAAACUUCAGGGAUUGUAAACUAUUUUUUCCGUGCGAUUUUAGUUCACCUUUUAAAAACCUUAGUUAUCGUGUUGUCAAACCUAUAAACCAGUGUAUUUUGGAGGUCUUAACACAUGGGGAAGACAUCGAACUUUAUCUUCUAUAUGUGCUACCUGCACUCUAUUAGAUGUAAUAAGUUCUGGCAUUUUCUAAUUUACUUGUGUCUAAAAGUGUCGUCCAGUUUUAUAAGAUCUUAAAUUUGUUUUAAUAUCAGUUCUUUGACAACAUUUAUCUUAUGAACAUCUUGAGCAUCUUAGAAAUGCAAUUCACUCUUGUAUAAUAGUAUGUUAUACAAUCAUUCUAUCCUGAAUUAUGUUUUUAUCGCAUGGAACCGCUCUAGGAUUCUUUUGGUUUCAGCCCUCCUUAUUUGGCUCUCUCUGUCAUACCUUAUUUUCUUGGUAGACUCAAAAUAGAUAUCUAAAUUGUUUAUGUUGAGAAUAUAAUCAAAUAAUAAAGGUAUGCUCUCUCUAAUAGCUUAAUCUUUUAGAUGAAAUUGUCACAUACUUACAUAUGGUAUCAGAGCAGGCAGAGGUCUUGAGAUCGAUUAUCACCACCACCCAAAUAAUCAAAAUGAAUUUCUAUGUGCUUGGCCCAUUUAAAAAUCAAACUCGUCCGCCUGCACGUGAGGGGGUGUUGAGAAUAGAAUUUAAUAAUAAAAGUGUAUUCUCUCUAAGGAGAAGACAUUGUUGGAGCAGGUAAUAAGUCACCAAGAUUGCUUUGUGCACCUUUAUAUGAGUUGGAAAUACCAACUUGAUUAGCAAGUUCAGUAGGAGGUUGAGGUCGUCGGAAAUAGACCUUAAGAUCUGGAGAUGGAGUUGGGGUUGGAAUAGUUUGAACGAGAAGGAUUGCUAUGGCCUUCUGAUUUCCGUAUUAGGAGAAAAAUACGGAGAUGUCUCAAGAAAAGUAACAUUCGUAGAGAUCAAGCACUUAUUGAUAGAGGGAUAAAAGCCAUAUGUAACCUUUUUGUAGACUAGAAUACCCGAGAAAGACACAUUUAAAGGUCUUGUGCUGAAGUUAUCAAUUAAAGUAACAAAAUAAUGAAAGCCUAAGGAAAAAUCACAGGACUUGCACCCCAUAUAUUUGAAUGAACGAUUUCAAACAUAGAGGUGGUCCGUUUAUUGACGCGUUUUGGGAAAGAGGCACGAGUGUGCUUACCAAGCUAACACGACUAACAUUUUAACGAAGAUAAACUAGAUAAACUUGGGACCAUCUUUUGCAAUUUCAAGAGACUUGGAUAACCCAAUUGACUAUGGAGCAAUUCAGAAGAAACAACAUAUAGUGUUGGGAUAGAGAGCAGGUACAAUCCCUGUGACUCAUGUCCUUUUCCAAUCACCUGUCCCGUACUCUAAUGUCUAAUCCUACACAAGAACAGAAUCAUCAAAGAAGGUUACAACACAUUUCAGGUUUUCUAUUAAUUUGCUAAUAGAAAUAAGAUUAUAUGGACAUUCAGGUGCAAAAAGGACUGAUUUUAAAGGUAUGGAAUGAUUUUUAGAAUAUAAUUAAAUAAUAAAAGUGUGCUAUCUCUAACAAGUUAAAACUUUUUAUUUUGAUAACCGAGAAAUCCGUCUCUGACCCACCCUUUUGACCAAUCACAACCUUCUAAACUCGGUGGAUGAUGGGCCUGCCCCUCUACCCUUCUCCACUUAAUAUUGGGCUUCACUUUGCAUGGUGUGGGCUUGAACUUGCUACCUAAGCCACAAAUCCUCCACCCUUUGCCACUCGAGCUAGGCCUUGGGGGCUAACAGCUUAAACUUUUAGAUGAGAUGGUCACACACUUCAAUAGUUUCAUUAUGCACCAUAGCUCCAUCUUAUGGAACAAUUUUAGCUCUGAAAGAUGUUUCUUAGAGGACAUCUCAGUAAUAUAUAACUAAGGUUUAUUUAUUUCUGAAUAACUUUAGGUAUGUGGUGCUUAAAUUAUAUAUGACUAAAGUUUAGCUUUACUUAAGUUUAAGCCAAAAUGAUUCAGUUAAUUCUUAUGAUUAAAAUUCAGAUGAAAAUGAAUGUACUUCAAUUAUAUCUAACUUCAACUUUGAACUUAUGCAUUCUAAAAUUAUUUUAUUAAAUGAACAAAUUUAUAAUUUUUUACAUGUUAUGAAUAUAACUUAAAUGAUAAUUCUAUAUUGGGCAUCAUAGCAUAUGGAGAUUAAUGCAAUGUGCAUCCAUAAAAUGUGUUUAGAUAUGAGUUGCCUAAUGUAUAUGUCAACUAUGGUUGUUAUUGACAUGUUUGCACAUUUGUUUGCUGAUACCUGAUUACUAUUUUCUGAUGAGUAUUAGCAAUUUCGUUGCAAUUGAAGUAGCCUUAUUUUUGUUGAGAAUACAAUUUAAGUAAUUAAAAUGUGCUUCAAAAAGCUUAUGUUUUUAGAUGAGAUGGUCAUGAGACGGUUACACACUUUAACAACUUUCAUAAGAGGUAAACUUUUAGAUUAUUUAAAUGAAUUUGUGUUUUCAAGUAAGAGCAGGAUUUAACCUACCUGGUCUUUGCCCAAAGUUCCUGAGGUUUUUCAUUUCCAAAAGUUUAUAGACUAAGCUAUUAGUAAUAAAAAUGGCUGAAAUUUGGAUGUUCAUUGGAAAUAAGAAUUGAAUCUGUAUCUAUAACAAAGACAAUGCGGAAGAAUCAAUAAUAUUCCACCUUGGAACUUAAAUACGGUGUUUUCCUGAAAUCGGUAACCUUUUCAACCUAUUCCUUUAAACUUAUUUGUAUUGCAUCAAAGGUCUUUUCCUCGCACGAGCAUUUUGAAGAUCAUUGUGCAAGAAAAACUGGAGUCACCUUUCUAUUUCCCCAAGCCAGCCUAGCCUGUAAAUAUGUAUUCCCAAGCUGUUGCUUCUAUCCAGCAAAAUUUCUUACUUUGUAUCUUUUUCCAACUAGAAUAAGGAAAAAAACAUUCUGACACACUUUUGUAGUCCAGUUCUCUGUAUCUGGAUUCGGACAGUUCAAUUACAUAGGCUAACAAGUUUCAGUGCUGCAAGUUUAGUUGUUGAAUGUUUUGAUUCAUUGUCCCUAUACUAAGGCCAUCAAAUUUGAAUUUUCAAAAGAUGCAAGAUGGAGAAGCAUAUGUUGCAUCAUGAAAUUCACAAAAACAACGUUAUGUUGGUAUUAGAACUUACAGCUCUCACUUAAUUCUUGCUUUGGCAGAAUACUAUUACUUGAUGAAAUAUUCUGUAUGCAGGCUGAGCUAGUAUGGAUUCAUUGCAGGGAAGAGUUAGAAGAGGGUACUGAAGCUGCAAAAUUUCUGGAAUAUUAUAUUCAACAGAUAGCAACAGGAAGUUAUAGUUACUUAAAACAGGAUAUAGCUUUGUUGCGAAAAAGAACCUUACAAAAGGCUAUUGAAGAUUUGCCUCCUCGAAAAUAAGCAGAUUUUGUUGAAGUGCUUAAGUAGGAAAAAUGUUCCAAUUCAUGUUUCUGAAAGCUUUUGAUGCAUUCAGUACUUGCUUACGAAGAGCUUUUUUCACAAUUGUCAAGCGUUCCCAGGAGGUACCUAAGAAAAAGAAGAAGCCAUUUUUGCGAAAAAAAGAAGGCUCUGAGAACAAGAAAGAAACCAUUUUUGCCAAAUAAACGUGCUCCAGUUUCAUCCCUCGCUCCAUCUCCAAUCCCUGCAACUGUUCAGUCUCCCACUCCCUCUCCAGGUCCUGCAGCAGUUCCAACCCUUGCUCCAUCUCCAGGUCCUGCAACUGUAUCACCAGUUUAUGCUCCAGUUCCUUCUAUUGAAGUGCCCACUAGCUCUCCUCCAGCUGUGCUGCCUCCUUCUCCAGUUGUAAAACCUCCUGCAAAGCCUCCAAAACUUCUAACUCACACCAAUUCUUCUAAACCUUUGCCUGUUAAUCCUCCAGAUAAACCACAAAAUGGUCCUAAUUCUGCGGGAAAUAAUCAAGAGCAUCGAAAUUAUUUAAUUGCUGCAGUGGCUGGAUGUUCGGUUGCAGGAAUUGCCUUUUUAGCUCUGUUGAUAUUCUGUGUUAAUAAUAAAAGGAAAGAAAUAGCUCCAAAUGAAUGGGAAACCGCCUCUGAAUUCAAAUGCAGGUGUCUAUUUGCUGCUAUUUAUCAUGAUGGUUAAUUAAUCUCAUUGUAUCAUUACAUUUCAUUAAUUUGUAUGAUUUGUAUUGUCAGGUUCUUCUCUAAAUGUCAAGAGUGCAUCUGCUGUAAAUGAUGCUGAUCCUCAUAAAUCUUCUGAAGCCGACGUGGAACUGUCAAAACCUGAUAUGAAUGCAAAUGCUCAUGCACCAAUACCACUUCCUCCUGGAAAAUCUGCACCUCCACCUCCUGGUCCCUCCUGGUUCUCCUCCUCCUAAACCACCUGUUCCGAGCCGACCUCCACCUCCAAAAUUUUGCCCUCCUAAUCCACCACAACCUGGUAAUUUGCCAAAGCCUUUACCUCUUGGAGCACAUCAGAGAAGAUGUUCUUCUGAGACCGGGGGAAGUGACUCAUUGGGUGAAUCUGACGCUUCCUAAAGCAAAAUUAAAACCAUUCUUUUGGGACAAGGUUCUUGCUAACCCUGAACACCUAUGGUUUGGCUUGAAAUAAAAGCCAGCUUGUUCCAGUAAGCUUCGCACUGAUCUUGCUAUUCACUUUGCUCCUGCGAGAGUUUAACUGUUUCUGUUUUUAUCUUUCUGAUUGCUGAAUUUUAUAACAGGUUUAAUGAGGAGAUGAUGGAUUCUUUGUUUGGAUAUUUACCAGGAGACCAAGGGAAAAAUGAUCGAAGAAAAGCUUCCUCAUCCUUUGAUCAAACCUCACAGUACAUUGAGAUUAUUGAUCUUAAGAAAUCACGAAAUCUAGCAAUUCUCCUCAAAGUCUUAAAUGCGACAACAGAAGAAGUUUAUGAUGCUCUCGAGGAGGGUAAAUCUCUCUCUCUCUCUCUCUCCCUCCUUAUGGUGGCUUUAUGAAUCCUGUUAGAAAUUCCAUUUUGUUCCAUUUCACUCCAGUACUUAAUAUUUUAUCCUAAAGGACGGUUUUUGGAUUAUCUAAUACUAGAGGACCGUCCGUCUCACAUUGACCCUACGUGAUAUCUAUGUCUCUAAUAAAACUAAUAGGCUCUUGGCAACCACCUGAGUAAAUAUAGCAUCAAUAUGAUCCCGACUAGUUGGUAUCAUGUAUACACUAUACGUAUGAUUUGAUUCAUUUUGUUCUUGUUAGAAUAGGAAUAAGUAAUACAAUCCUCCUUAGAAUAGGAAUACAAAUAGGAAUAGGAAUAAGAAUCCUAAUCGUUGAAAGAGUCUAAUGUAGUGUCUAUAAAUAGAGUCUCAAUGUUAUAAUGUAGAUACACAAUUCAGUAAAUUCUAUUUCUCACAUGGUAUUAGAGCAUUGGUGAGAAACUUUAAGUCAGCGUGUCAAAUUCCGGCGACAGUUGAGGCUGAUUUGUGUCAUCUUUAGUUCUAAAGGUGUUGUGCGAAAAUCAACACCAUCACGAGGCUCGAGAAGCUCAAGCGACCAAACCCCAGCCAGAACCAUCGGAAAACAACCCCUCACGCGUUCUCACAUGCCGUUCGAAGGUGGAAGUUUUCCGGCGCGAUCUGAAUCACACACCGGCGGAGGGCUGCUCCGGUCAUUUAUUUCGAGUUGUUUUUCUUCUGUUGGGGUCAUCCAGUAUUUCCGAUCAAAACCCAUCCAGUUUUCUUCGGAUCUGAUAACUGGAAUUAGGUUUUCCGGCGAUUUCCAGGCUGUUUCUGGCAAGCUCCUGGUGAAAUCGGAAUUUUUCAGAACUUACAGGCACUAUAGGCAGACUCUAGCAGUUUCCAGCAAUUCAAGUCUCUUACUAUUUUUAAGUCAAAUUUAGAAAAAUGUCUUUUGGGUGUGAUGUUUUUGGCUUAAAAAAUAUGGGUAUUGGAAGUUCAAGCCCUAUAACUACUUCAGAACCCUUAAUGGUAAGUUCAAACUAUUUGGCUUGGGCUUCCUCAGUUGAGUCGUGGUGCAGGGGUCAAGGUGUUCAAGAUCACUUAACAAACAAUGCUUGUGUGGUAGAUGGAAAGACAAUCUAGUGAUGAAGAUGCAAAAGUCAAAGCAUAAUGGGAGAAAAUGGAUGAUCAAUUAUGUAGUAUGACUCUCUAUUGUUUCAAAGUUGAUUCCCUUGUUUCACCCAUUCGAGACAUGUUAUUCAGUUUGGGGAAAAGCACGUGCUUUAUACACUAAUGACAUAUCUAGAUCUAUGAUGUGAUAUCUUGAAUGACCAACUUAAAGAAACAAGAAUCUUAUAUGUUUACUUACUUAGGACAGGUACAAGCAGUCAUGGAGGAAUUUGAAACGUUGAGGCUAGUCACUACAAACGUGGAAAAGCAGCAAGAGCAUAGACAUACAUUAUUUCUAUAUCUUACACUCGUUGGACUCCCUACUGACCACAAUUCUGUGCGUGACUAGAUUCUAGCUAGUCCUAUCGUUCCUACAAUUGAUGAAUUAUUCCCUUGUCUACUUCGUCUUGUUGCGUCUCCUAGUCACAAAAUAGUUUAAUCACCCACUAUUGACUCCUCUAUUCUCGCAUCUCAAACCAUAGAAAAAUGAACAUAUUAGUCUAUGGACAAUCGGCGAGGAGGAGGACGUUUUGGGAAACCUUGAUCCUAGUGUAGUUAUUUUCAUGAACUUGGACACACUCAUGACAUAUGUUAUACUUUGGAUGGUCCACCACCCAGCUAUGAUCCCAUUACUCUCAAGGAAUAUGAUGAGCUCUUUCAAAAUUGAGAAGGUAAGCACAUAUCUCCUAAAGUAUCAUUUGUUGCUUAGCUUGAUCGACUAUCCAAUAAUGCUCAUAUUGCUCAGACAAAAUGUAAUGCGUUCUUUCAAUAUCGAGCAAGUAAGCAGACACCUCCGCUAGUGGCUUCGGUUGCUCAACCUAAUCUUUCUGUUGUGGGUAAUUCUUUUGCUUGAGUUUCACAAUCUAGUUCUCUUGGAUUAGGGGUAAUGGACUCGGGCGCUUCGAAUCAUAUUUCUGGUAACAAAUCACUUUUGUCUGAUAUUAUUUAUUCACAAUCUCUUCCUCCUAUUACUUUAGCCAAUGGGAUCCAAACAAAACCAAAAGGGGUUUCAAAAGCCAAACCCCUAUCUUCUGUCACUCUCGACUAUGUUCUUUAUAUCCCUGGUUCUCUUUUAAUCUGGCAUCUGUUAGUCGUUUGACACGUGCCCAACAUUGUGGCAUAACAUUUUUUGAUGAUUUUUCUCUCUUGCAGGACCACAGUACGAGAUAGAUGAUAGGCAGAUUGAACUAUUUUUUAGGUUUUGAGAUUGCUCAGUCUAGAUUAGGUAUUGUUAUUUCUCAAUACAAGUAUGCCUUAGACAUUCUUGAAGAGCCUAAAUGAUGGGAUGUAGAUCCAUUGACACUCCUAUGGAUCCAAAUGUUAAAUUCCUUCUAGGACAGUGGGAGCCACUUAGUAAUCCUGAAAGUUAUAAACGACUUGUUGGAAAGUUGAAUUAUCUUACAGUGACUAGACCUGACAUUUCUUUCCUUGUGAGUGUUGUAAGUCAGUUUAUGACUUCCCCUUGUGAUAGUCAUUGGGAUGUAGUUGUUCGUGUUUUGCGAUAUAUGAAAUCUGCUCCUGGUAAAGAACUACUCUUCGAGGAUCAAGGCCAUGAGCAUAUCACUGGAUAUACAUACGCUGAUUGGUCAAGAUCACCCUCUCAUAGACGUUCGACAUCUGGAUAUUGUGUUUUAGUAAGAGGUAAUUUGGUGUCGUGGAAGAGUAAGAAACAAAGUGUGGUCUCGAUCUAGUACAGAAUCAGAAUAUCAAGCAAUGGUUGCAACAACUUGUGAGCUAGUUUGGAUCAAACAGUUGCUGAGAGAGCUAAAAUUUGGCGAAAUCAGUUAGAUGCAACUUGUGUGUGAUAAUCAAGCAUCCUUUCAUAUCACAUCAAAUCCAGUGUUUCAUGGAAGGACCAAGUAUAUUGAGAUUGACUGUCACUUUGUCAAAGAAAAGAUACUCUUAGGAGAUAUUGGUACGAAAUUUUUGAAGUCAAAUGAUUAGCUUGUAGAUAUCUUCACUAAGUCCCUCACCGAUCUUCGUAUUAAUUAUAUCUGAAACAAGCUAGGUACAUAUGAUUUGUAUGCACCAGCUUGAGAGCGAGUGUUAGAAUAGGAAUAAGUAAUACAAUCCUAUUUAGAAUAGGAAUCUUAAUUGUUAAAUGAGUCUAAUGUAGUGUCUAUAAAUAGAGUCUCAAUGUAAUAAUGUAGAUACACAAUUCAAUAAUAUUCUAUUUCUCACAUGAUAUUAGAGCAUUGGUGAGAAACGUCAAGUCAUCGUGUCAAAUUUUGGCGACAGUUGGGGCUGAUUUGUGUCAUCUUUCAUUCUAAAGGCGUUGUGCAAAAACCAACACCAUCACGAGGCUCGGGAAUCUCAGGCGACCAAACCCCAGCAAAUACAAACUUAAACAUAUAUUAACAUACAAAGUUCAAUUUUAUUUUCAAUAUCAAAAUAAUAAUACUUGAAAAAUAAUAUUAACAAAUAUUACUUAAACAUAUAUUGACAUAUAAAAGGUCAAAACAUGUAUCUUGUUUGGACCAAAAGAAUUAACAUAUAUAAAAUAAUUUUACUUUCAAAAUUCGAACACUAUAAUAUUUUGAAAAUAAUGUUAACAGAUAUUAUUUAUUUUAUUUUUUUUUAUUUUUUUUUAUUUUUUUUUAUUUUUUUUUAUUUUUUUUUAUUUUUUUUUAUUUUUUUUUAUUUUUUUUUAUUUUUUUUUAUUUUUUUUUAUUUUUUUUUAUUUUUUUUUAUUUUUUUUUAUUUUUUUUUAUUUUUUUUUAUUUUUUUUUAUUUUUUUUUAUUUUUUUUUAUUUUUUUUUAUUUUUUUUUAUUUUUUUUUAUUUUUUUUUAUUUUUUUUUGAUAACCAAGAAAUUCAUCUAUGACCCGCUCUUUGGACCAAUCACAGCCUUCUAAACUCGGUGAUAAUGGGCCCGCCCCUCUACCCUUCUCCACUUAAAUACCAGGCUUCGCUUUGCUUGGUGUGGGGCUUGAACCUACGACCUAAGCCACAAAUCCUCCACCUUUUGCCACUCGAGCUAGUCGUUGGGGGCUAUUUAUGUAUAUCUUGUAUAUGUUAUUUGUAUGUACAUAUUUUUUUUUGAGUAGCGACUCAUUUUUUUAAUUUGACAAGAACUAAACAACUGGUUCUAUUAAAUGUAGAUGUCAAUGCUACUAUUAUAAAUUAAAAGAACAGGAAAUCCAAACUGUGAAUCCAAUCUGGCCCAUUUAGCCCGUUAACUACACUAACAAAGGUAUGAUUCUAAGACGAACAUCCUUUCCCCCGGCCCCAUUCGCACCCCUUAACAUUAGCUACGGUUAGCUCGAGUACAAUGUGACCACAUUUUUGUGAAUCAGAUUGUCCCAGCUUGACUGGAUGAUAUCCUUACUUCAAUGUUCGAACUAUAAGAAUUAAUAAUUUCAUUUAUGACCAAUAAAAGUUAUGGAAUAGACAUUUAUAUUCAAAAUAUACGUAAUCUAAGAAUAUGGUAAGUAAUUUUAUUAAAUUUUCUAUUUAUUGAUACAACUUCUUCUGCAAUCUCGGGCUUCUUCCUCCCUUUCUCUUUCUAGGUUUCUUGCCGCCUCUUUGCUGCUGGUUUCGAUGGGGCAACAACUUUUGCAUAAACAUAAGGAAGAAGAAAAACAGGUUGCUGUAAAAGAGGUGGUUAAGGAGGAUAUAGUUAAGGAUGAUCAACAGGAUUUCCAGUCCAAAUAUCCACGUUUGGCUGCAUCUAUGGCUGGCAUGUCUACAAUGUAUCCGAAUGGAACAAGUUUUUUGAAGGAGAAGAUGAGUUUGAUUGCUACUGACAAGGCUAAAGUGUUGGAGGAGAAGUGGAAGAAACUGGAGGAUGACGAAGCUGCCUUGAUGGUGAAGCGCUUAGAUUUGAUUGCGGAGCAUUACAGAUUGGUGGUUGAUGCAAUGAGAGGUAACUAGAUGCUGGUGGAUCAUUUUCUAUUGGAUGCUACAAGUUUUGAUACUGUUUCGGUUGAGUCUUAGAUUUUGUUUCAUAUAUUCUUGUUUCUCAAGACAAUUCCUUCUCGCGUUGAUGUACUUAUGUUUAGUCCGCGAGGUAGAUUUAGUUUGUCCGGUUUAUUCCUACAUUUUAUUGCUUAUUUAGUUUUACUAGUGAACUGGUUUGGAUGAUAUCCGCUGUGUUGCUUCUGGUUCAUCCUUUUUAAUAUGUCAUUUCCUAUUCCAGAUGGAAAUAUAUUUAAAUGCUACUUUCUCAGUUUUUGCAGCUUGUGUUGAUUCACUUUGUUCUCAAUUGUUGUUCAUGCCAGCUUAUCAUACCAGUUAAUUGAUUUGGGAGGGGGUGGUGGGUUAGUUACAGUUUCCUCUAGAUAUUUCCUUUGGUAUAGAGUGCAAUGUUGUUUCCUAAUUAGACAGUUGUCCAAUCCUAGAGGUUUUAAGUCCUGCUAUAAAUCUAAAAGAAUUUAAAUUAUGAUUGAAAAUUUUCUUACAGGCACUGCUACUUGGGUGUUUCCUUUAACUGCUUAUUCUCUAUUCUUUCCUAGUGAAGAUAUUCUGCAGCGCAUGAACUCUCAUAGAACCUUUUAUAUGUGUGUGCAUGUCUACACACUUGCAUUUAUCAUCAUUCAAUCAACUAUAUUUCAAUUCUGAAACCGUUGAGGUCAGUUAUUAUAUGAAUUCUCAACAUCCAUUCGUUUUGUUCAGGUUCAUUGCAUUCCUAUACUGAAUAAUUAGGUCUUAAAAGACAAAUUAGGGGUUUCCUAAAUCUCCUACACAUCUCUCUAUGGUAUCUACUGACUAGUUUAAUCUCAAUUGUUUGGCAUAACUCAUGUAGAUCUCUUGGUUUGAUUGUCUUCUGUUUUUAACCAAGUAUACAUGGAUUUCAAAAGACUUUAGGGAUUGAAAACUUUUUCUCCGUGCGACUUAGUUCACCUCUUAAAAAUCUUAGUUAUCGUGUUGUCAAACAUAUAAACCAGUGCAUUUUGGAGGUCUUAACACAUGGGGAAGCCAUCUAACUUUAUCUUCUAUAUGUGCUACCUGCACUCUGCUAGAUGUAGUAAGUACUGACAUUUCCAAUUUACUUGCGUCUAAAAGGGUUGUCCGGUUUUAUAAGCUCAUAAAUCUGUUUUAAUAUCAGUUUUUUGACAGCUUUUAUCUUAUGAACAUGUUGAGCAUCUUAGAAAUGCAAUUUAUUGCCGUAUAAUAGUCUGUUACACAAUCAUUCUAUCCUGAACUAUGUUUUUAUCGCAUGGAACCGUUCUAGGAUUCUAUUCGUUUCAGCCCUCCUUAUUUGGCUCUCUCUGUUGUACCUUUUUCCUGGUAGACUUAGAAUAGAUAUCUAAAUUGUUUAUGUUGAGAAUAUAAUUAAAUGCUAAAAGUGUGCUUUUUCUCUAACAGCUUAAGCUUUUAGAUGUGAUGGUCACACACUUUAAUAUGGUAUCAGAAUAGGCAAAGAUCUUGAGAUUAAAUCUCACCACCACCCAAAAAUCAAAAAGAAUUUUCACGUGCUUGACCCAUGAAAAAAUUAGGCUCGCCCACACGCAUGUGAGGGGGCGUGUUGAGAAUAUAUUUAAAUAAUAAAGAGUUAGAAAUACCAACUGGAUUAGCAAGUUCAUAAGGAGGUUGAGGUUGUCGGGAAUAGACCUUAAGAGUGGGAGAUGGAGGUGGAUUGGAAUAUUUGAAUGGGAAGGACUGUUAUGCCCUUCUUAUUUUCCAUAUUAUGAGAAAAAUACGGAAAAGUCUCGAAAAAAGUAACAUCUGCGAGGUCAAGUACUUAUUGGUAGAGGGAUCAAAGCAUUUGUAACCUUUUUGUAGACGAGAAUACCCUAGAAGGACACAUUUAAAUGCCUUGUGUUGAAGCUUAUCUUUUUCGGGGGUAAUGUUAUGAACAAAAUAGGUGCAACCAAACAAAUGUGGAGGAAGGGGAAAUUUUUUUUGGUCCGAAUAGAGGACUGAGUGAGAACUCUGAUACUGAAGAGCUUUUUUCCCAAUUGUCAAGUGUUCCCAGGAUCAAAAUUAUCAAGGGGAUCGAAAUUAUUUAAUUGCUGCAGUGGCUGGAUGUUCUGUUGCAGGAAUUGCCUUUUUACCUCUGUUGAUAUUCUGUGGUUAAGAAUAAAAGGAAAGAAAUAGCUCCACAUGAUGGGCAAAGGGAUGGGAAACCAUCUCUCAAUUUGAAUGCAGGUGUAUUUGCUCCUAUUUAUCAUGAUGGUUAAUUAAUCUCAUCGUAUCAUUCUUUUUCGGUUUUAAGUCAUUUGUGGUCCCUUAAAGUUAUUCGAAUAAUUCACUUAGACACCUCAACUAGGGCUAGUACCUAUUGAACACUUUUAUCUAUUCAAAACUUGUUCCUAUUAGACACUUUUCGAUAAUAAGUAAAAAAAACAAAAUGUGUGUAAUACACUUGUUGUGAUGUGAUAAAAUGACAAAUUACAAGAUAGCAUGUGGCGUUGGGCCCAACAAUUAUAGAAAAAAAGAAUUUUAUGUUAAAAGAAUGAAAAUUAUUUCAAAUAAAUUUUUCAUCUAUUUUUUUAUUUAAAAAAAUGAGAAGCUCAACCCUACCCCAACCCCCUUUCUUCUUCAUCUUCUUCCUAGCAAUAUUUUCUUUCUCAAACGAUAAAAUUCAAUUUCCUUGCUUAUUGCUUAUAUAAUUAUUUUUUUAUUCUAAUACGUGAGAGAGAUAUUCAAAGAGACUGAUACAAGAGUGGUGAAGAAAGUGAGACUGUCAAUCGUCUUGAAAUCGAUAGCAAAGAGAAAUUGGGAGGACCUAAAUUAAUUUUAUCGAAUCAAUCUAAUAUUAUUUUUGUUAAGUUUAGUGGGUUUACAUUUUAAUUUGAAUGGUAAUAUUUGUUCGAAGGUGACCGAGAUGGACGCCGAUCGGCUAACUUUUUUCAGCUUGAUGUUCUUUUUUUUUCCCUCCAAAUUCAAUUAGCUGAUUCAAUUUUUAUUUUUUAACAAAAUAUCGAAAAGAAAAAGAAAAGCAAAAAACAAAAAACAAAAAAACAAUGAAGUGCACUGUCUUCGUGAGGAAGACAACAUAAAUGGGGUGGGGUGGGGGCUUUUUUUUUAUUCUAUUUUAAGAAUUAGUAUUACUUUUAAAAUUACUUUUUAAAAAAUUAAAUUAUUUAAAUGCCAAGUGACAACCAAAGAAAAAAAAGUAUUAAGUUUUUUUGAAAAAAGUAAAAAUAAAAUAUUAUUUAAGAUUUUUUCACACGCUUAGCGGAAGUGAAAAACACUUAUUUUGCCACAUCAACAUUUUGUGUUUAAUAGAUAUACUUUUUAAACAAUUUAGGUGUUCAACAGGUAAUAAUCAUAUUCAAAAUAUACAUCAUCUAAGAUUAUUAUUUUUUUAUGACAAGGGAAACCCGCAGCCGCUACCCUUUGAGUGCGCACAGGGUAAAACUCCCGCUCCUAUGCAAUAGCUCGUAAACCACAUAGGAGAGGUAACCCGCACUAGGCAAGCCUGGUGCGACGAGCUUGACCCAGAAGGCAAACCACAUCAUCUAAGAAUAUGGUAAGUAAUUUUAUAAAAUUUUCUACUUAUUGAUACGACUUCUUUUGCAAUCUUGGGCUUCUUCUUCCCUUUCACUUUCUGGGUCUCUUGCGGCCUCUUUGAUGUUGGUUUCAAUAGGGCAACAACUUUUGUAAAAGCACGCGGCUUAAUUGUGAAGUCUGAUGAAGAAAAUGAAGGCAAGGAAUGACCUGAUUCAGCUUCGGAUACGGAUUCGGAUCCUGACCCAUUUUCGCUUUUGAAAUCAGAAUUAAGAAGAUUAGGGUUUCUAUGGGGUUUGAACUAAUUUUUGAGUAAUUGGUCUCUUUUCCACAGGAUGGACUAUCUCGAGUUCCUCACCACUUUUCUUAGGUUCAAAACUCUUCGUAACCUCAACAAUCUUUUUAGCUUUGAGAGCUGCUAAACAGCCAGAAAAAUGUGGUCAGAAUUUGGCCAGAAACGUACAAAGACUAUACUAACCUUUUAGUUUAAAAUAAAGAAAAAAUGUAUUAAAGUGUUUGUCAUUUCCUAAAAUUACAAUUCAAGUAGAACACAGAUUCUUAGGCUUAGAUUAUGAAAAGUCGCAUUGGGACACUACUUUUUCUUCAUUCCAACUCAUAAAGCGCAUUCUUAUUCUUACGUAGCAUUAGUACUGCUAAGGGAAUCCUGCUAAUUCUUUUUCCUAUUCUUCUCUACUCGAUCACUUCUCAAAAAAAUAUGAAUACAACUGAAGUUAGGGAGGAAUUGUACAGAUCUUUAGGGAUGGCAUCAGACGAUAGUUUGAUGAACGAAAAUGAAUGGGUGGAUGAUGAUUCAUACUAUAGUUUGAACAAUGAUGUACAUUUAGAUGAGGACGAUGAAGAAGUUGAACAUUUACACUUUAUGUACUAUAAGAAAUAUAUACUUACACCUCCGAAAUUACAUGGGUUUUGAAUAAAAUAAAUAAAAUGUUAUAAAGAGGCAAAAAUAGUAAUAUAAAAUUCUAGGGACUAUGAAAAUUAUUUUGCUUUUUACUUCAUACUCUCAUUCCUGAUCUUAUUAUUUGAUUUCAUAGUAUAAAUUGAGAACACUUGCAUAAAGAACAAAGGCGUCCGAUCACUUUUUAUCCCCUAUAUUAUGUCGAUUUGAUAAAUUGUGAAUCGUUACUUAUAUUUGUUACUAAAAUGAUCUCCAAUUAACUAAUGUUUUAUAAUAAUUAUGUUCAAAUAAAAUUAAAAUUAUAAUAAUUUUUAGAUGUAAUUUAUAAAAUAUUGGGAUAACGACAACUCAAAGCACAUUAGACCUGGUAAAUGUUGAUAGUCAUAGAAAUCAUGUGUAUAGUUCAUUUAUGUCGAACCGAAGAGAGUCAGACAUUAACAGUAUCUAUCGUACAAGUCUUAUCCCCAAUAUUGCGUCGAUUUGAUAAAUUGUGAAUCAAUACUUAUAUUUGUUACUAAAAUGAUCUCCAAAUUAACUAAAUGUUUUAUAAAUAAUUAUGUUCAAAUAAAAUUAAAAUUAUAAUAAUUUUUAGAUGUAAUUUAUAAAAAUAUUGGGAUAACGACAACUCAAAGCACAUUAGACCUGGUAAAUGUUGAUAGUCAUAGAAAUCAUGUGUAUAGUUCAUUUAUGUCGAACCGAAGAGAGUCAGACAUUAACAGUAUCUAUCGUACAAGUCUUAUCCCCAAUAUUGCGUCGAUUUGAUAAAUUGUGAAUCAAUACUUUAUAUUUGUUACUAAAAUGCCUCCAAUUAAGUAAUUUUUUAAUAUUAUGGUUUAAAUAAAAUUAAACUAUAUGUUUAAAUAAAUUUUUUUCUAAUGGUAAUUUUGUUAAAAAUAAUUGUGAUAACGACAACUCAAAAUACAUUAAACCGGAUAAAUGUAGAUAAUUAUAGAAACAAUGCAUAAAAGUUCAUAUGUGUCGAACCAAAGAGAGUCGGACAUUAAUAGUAUUAAUCAUACAAGUAUUUUCUCCUAUAUUACGUCAAAUUGAUAAGUUGUAAAUCAUUACUUAUAUUUGUUACUAAAAUGAUCUCCAAUUAACUAAUGUUUUAUAAUAAUUAUGUUCAAUAAAAUUAAAAUUAUAAUAAUUUUUAGAUGUAAUUUAUAAAAAUAUUGGGAUAACGACAACUCAAAGCACAUUAGACCUGGUAAAUGUUGAUAGUCAUAGAAAUCAUGUGUAUAGUUCAUUUAUGUCGAACCGAAGAGAGUCAGACAUUAACAGUAUCUAUCGUACAAGUCUUAUCCCCAAUAUUGCGUCGAUUUGAUAAAUUGUGAAUCAAUACUUAUAUUUGUUACUAAAAUGAUCUCCAAAUUAACUAAAUGUUUUAUAAAUAAUUAUGUUCAAAUAAAAUUAAAAUUAUAAUAAUUUUUAGAUGUAAUUUAUAAAAAUAUUGGGAUAACGACAACUCAAAGCACAUUAGACCUGGUAAAUGUUGAUAGUCAUAGAAAUCAUGUGUAUAGUUCAUUUAUGUCGAACCGAAGAGAGUCAGACAUUAACAGUAUCUAUCGUACAAGUCUUAUCCCCAAUAUUGCGUCGAUUUGAUAAAUUGUGAAUCAAUACUUAUAUUUGUUACUAAAAUGACCUACAAAUUCCAAUUAACUAUUUUUUUAACUACAAUAUUUGAAUAAAAAAAUUAAUGUUAAAGUAAAUUUAGUUAACACUAAUCUUUUGGCCAUAAUCUGUUGUAAUAUUAGCUANNNNNNNNNNNNNNNNNNNNNNNNNNNNNNNNNNNNUUUUUUUUAUAAUAAUACAACCAAUAAGAAUAUAAUGUGUAAUAUAACGUGAAAUUUUUCUUAUUCUAAUACAAUCAACAAGUAUACAAUGUAAUUCAGAAAAUAUAUUUUUUUACUACUGAUGUUACAAUUUUUAUUGUUUUUUGUAAAACAUAAUUUGAAAACAUUUUUUUUAUAUAGGUUGCAUGAGAUCACUUAAUGUUUUCUUGUUGAAAUUUGUAGUCUUUUUUCAUAAUUGACUAUGGAAUCAUCAUUAAUGUCAUUAAUUAUUUUCAAUAUAUUGAAAACAUAAUGGAAGAUUAUAGAGAUCCCAAGAAUGUAUUCUAUUUUCAAGCGAAAAAAGGGUAAGAUUGUCCAAAAUAAAACUAGUUUAUAGUGUGAACAUGUCCUUUUACUAUUCUGGCCAAAUUAUGGCCAAACUUUUCUGACCAAAAGGAUUUUUCCUUAAUGUUAUUAGUAAGAAUCUCCUUAACUCCAUUACUAGUUCCAAGGGCAACCCAAAUCCUCUUUGAAUGCUCAAAAACUAAAAAAUCUCGACCCUUUGUGAAAACUAGCUCUUCACCAUCUUUCACAUAAGUCAAAAAUUUAUUCUUUUACCUCCUUACCUUGUCACCGAGUUGACUCUUUGAAACUUCAACCUGAACUUCCCCCUUAUGAAUUCAUGAAAAGCAUACAUAUUGACACUAUGUUCCAUACCUUUUACCGCCUUGUAUUCAGUAAUAUCUUUGAGUAGAGCAAGCUAGUCAUCAUCACUCCAUAGACUGGGAGGAGUAGCAACUGAUUUUUUUCUCCUCUUCUUUUGCAAUCAUGGGCUUCUUCCUCCCUCUCUCUGUCUAGGUCUCUUGCGGCCUCUUUGUUGCUCAUUUGGAUGAGGCAAAAACUUUUGCAGGAACACUCGACUUGUCUGUGAAGUUUGAUGCAGAAGAGGAAGACAUGGAAUGACCUGAUUCCGCUUCCGAUUUAGAUCUUGACCCAUUUUUUUAUUCCGGACUCUGAUGAAGAUUGGGGUUUAUGUGGGGUUUUAAUUGGUUUUUGAGUAAUAGGUCUCUUUUCAACUGAGGGGUUGUCUCAGGUUACGGUGUUUCCUCACCAUAUUUAGUACUUGAUAUAUUUUUUUCAAAUUUACAUACAUUUGAUUAAAAAUGACAAAUCACAUUUUGAAAGAAUAUUUAUUUCGAUUAAGAAUCAUGAAUAAGGCAUGAUUAUUCAGUCAUCCUCCGACCAUUCUCAUUCCACAUAAAACUCAUGUGGAAUAGAUGUCCAAAUGGGGGAAAGUAAUUAUCCAAUUGUAUGAAUUGUAUUUUUAACACAUUUAACUUGAAACACCACCCGAAGCAUCAAGCACAAGAUCAUAGAUUAAUUCUAAAGAAUAAAAACUCCAAACGGAUAAGCGGUAGGGAUGGCAAACGGGGCGGGAUGAGGCGGUUGCAGGAAGGAAACAAUAAAGAAAAAUAGGAAGGAAAGAAACUGAGUGUACCUUCGUGAUUUUUUUGGAUGCUAAAAUUCGAUGAGUUGAACAGUAGAGAGAAGAAAUGUGGAUGCUGAAAUUUGACGUGGAAUUUUUCCCUUAAAAGGUCUAUUCUUCUCUCAUGUAUGACAUUAAGGCAGGGGAGCUCAAGCACUUAUGUGGUCUUUCCUCUAGAAAAGUUUGUUCUUCUAAUAAAAAUUUAUAUGCAAAAUUAGUAAUAAUUUUCAUAUUUUUUUUAAAAAAAUUGUAUGAUAUUAUAAUAAAUUCAUUUAAUUAAUAUUUUUUUUAGAAUUGUUGACCUUAGGUAGAUGUUUUUAUUUGAAUUUUUAAUUAUCCAUUUUGUUUUUUUAUAUUCCUAUAUUUUAUUCUCAAUAUUAUCAAGCUAUAUAAAAAAUUAUUAAACUUGACUGCAUUACUUACAUUUUUAUUUACAUAUAAAUAGUGAAAUAGAAAGAAAAAAACACGGAAACAUUACAACAAAAUGAUUAAAUAUAUAAUGAAGAAGGAAUAUUACUCCCUCCAUUCAUUUUUACUUGACUGCAUUACUUACAUUUUUAUUUACAUAGAAAUAAUAAAAAUAGAAAAAAAAAAACACAGAAACAUUACAACAAAACGACUAAAUAAAUAAUGAAGAAGGAAUAUUAGUCUCUCGGUUCACUUUUACUUGUGUUUGGCACACCCAUUUAGGAAAUAAUUAAAAGUGAAAAUCUAUUUUCAUAACUGACAACUAAAAGUGAACGGAUGUAAGUUUUUUUUUCUACAAAUAACAUAUACUCAGCAUUAAUGUGUUAAAAAUACAAUUCGUAUAAUGGUAAGUAUAUGUUAAGACAUUGGUUUUUUUGUAUAAACUAGUUUUUCGACACGUGCGUUGCACGUGAUUAUCAAUUCAGAAUAUUUAAGUGAAGAUUUGAAUAGAAAGUUUUGCACAAAAUAAUAUUGCAGAUUCUUUUGUGAAUGUUCAAUAUGGAUUAUCAUAUAUACCUCUUAUUCACAUGAACCUAUCAAGAUGGUCAAUGUAAAAUUUUAUUAGUUAAAUGCAAUAAUGUAUAUAUUUAUUUCAAUUUUAUGAGGUACAAUCAUGUAACUAGUUGUAUCUCACUAAUAUUACCUUAUAGACGAUAUUUGUUGUGUAUUUUUCUUGUCAUCUUACCAGAUUUGUUUGCACGUGUAUUCCACUUAAUUUGUUUAGAUGUCAUAUGAACAUGAGGAGAACAACUACAUUCUAUUUUUUAGAACUAUUUUUGUAUUUUAUUUUUAAUUUUAUAAGCUAUAACAUAAUAGAUGACGUUCUUUGGGUGGAUCUCUUAUUUGACUUCUCGAUUGACUUUGUACAUAAAUCAAAGAUAGUUAUCUGACUAACUGAGAAAGGUUUCCUUUUUUUUUUACCGAAAAAACUAAAAAAUUAAAUUAAAAAAUAUAUUAUAUCUGUGAAAUCAUAUAUAUAAUCGCUUGUUUAUCUUAAACCCAAAAAAGAUAUAGUCCAUAUACUUGUAAAUAAUUUUCAAUUUAUUCAACUAAGCAUGAUUCGUCCAAGGAAAAAUAAUAACACCGUGUUAUAACAAACAGGGACAAUAUAAUAAUAUGAAAAAUUAUUGGUCAAAAGUAAAUAUAAGGAAAGAUGAACGAUAGAAAUAAUUAAUGUAAUAACUAUGAGAAUUCAUAAUAUUAUAACUAAAGAGUAUAAGAGAGUGUGAAUAACAUUUGCAAUAAUUUGUAAUAAUUAAGAGAGUUUAUAAUGUUAUAACUAAAGAAUUAAUGUGAAAUACAUGAAUUUCUAAUAAAUUUUAUACUUACAUAAAUAAAUAGGAUUUUUAAUUAAUGUUAUUAUCUUUUUUUAUAGGUAUUAGAUUUUAAUUUACUGUAGGGACAAAAUGAAAAUGCUUAUUCCAUAUUACUAAAUAUAAAUUUAUUUUGACAAUGAUAAAUUUUUAAUGAUUCAUAUAUAUUCACAUAUUUUCACAUUUGUUGUGAGUUUUUUUUUUUUUUUUUAAAAAGUAUCGGAAAAUUUUAAAAUAAUAUAUUUUGAAGUUAGAAGAUCUUGUUAACUUGAUAAUACAUUCGUGACAUAUAUAAAUACCUACACACACACACACAUAUAUAUAUAUAUAUAAUAUAUAAAUAUAUAUAUAUAUAUAUCUCAUAAAAAUUAGCUAUUAAAUAAAUAAUAAAAAUUGAACUAAUAUAGACUUCCACUGGCAUUAUUAGAAGUCAUAUGAAUUUUUCUUCAUCGAAAAUACCAAAAUAUUAAGAAAUAGUUAAUUAGUAAAACAAAAGGGCAAUGUUUACAUAGUAAUAACUAUUUUGAAGCAAACUUCUUGGCAAUCUAAAUCACAUAAGUAACAUUGAUAAAUAAAGUCAUUCUUUUGUCUUGAGCAUCAAAAAAAUAAAUCGUGACAAUUCUCUAACUCUUGAGAAGUUUAAUAAUUUUGGGAAAAGAUAUUCAGAAACAUAUAUCUACAUCACAAGAGAAAUUGUUAACAAAAAUAAAUGAAUUUAUACUAUAAUAAAAAUUAAACUAAUACAAACUUCAACUGACGUUAUUACAAGUCAUAUGAACUUUUCUUUGUUGAAAAUACUGAAAUAAUAAGAAAUAAUAAAUCAGUAAAACAAAAAGGCAAUGUUUAUAUAGUAAUAACUAUUUUGAAGCAAACUUCUUGGCAAUCUAAAUCACAUAAGUAACAUUGAUAAAUAAAGUCAUUCUUUUGUCUUGGGCAUCAAAAAAACAAACUAUGACAAUUCUCUAAAUCAUGAGAAGUUUAAUAAUUUUGGAAAAAGAUAUUCAGAAGCAUACAUCUACAUCACUAGAGAAAAUGUUAACAAAAACAAAUGAAUUUAGAUUACAAUAAAAAUUAAACUAAUAAAAAUUUCAACUGGCGUUAUUACAAGUUAUAUAAACUUUUUUUCGUCGAAAAUACUUAAAUAUGAAGAAAUAGUAAAUCAAUUAAACAAAAGGGCAAUGUUUAUAUAGUAAUAAAUAUUUUGAAGCAAACUUCUUGACAAUCUAAAUCACAUAAGUAGCAUUGAUAAGUAAAAUUAUUCUUUUGUAUUGAGCAUCAAAAAACAAAUCGUGACAAUUCUCUAACUCUUGAGAAGUUUAUUAAUUUUUGAAAAAGAUAUUCAUAAGCAUAUAUCUACAUCACAAGAGGAAUUGUUAACAAAAACAAAUAAAUUUAGACUACAUCAACAUUACAUACUAAUGUAUAUAUUAAGCAAAAAAAUAAUUAUUAUAUUAUCAGAAUUAUUUUCAUCAAGUACUCGAGGUUAAUGAAUAUACCCUCUUAGGAUAGAACAAUUUACUUCAUCAGAAUAGUGGUACCUCAUAUUUCACGAAAUUUUGAACUCACUCAACGACAAUAAAUCAAACGAAAUUUUUUAAAAUGCAAGAAGAAGAAGAGUAUAAGAAUAAAAAAAAUUGUGGUUGGAAAAUGAGAGAAAACCCCUCUAUUUAUAGUCAACAAAGAAUAGUAUGAACAAGUAUUUUUUGUAUCUUAUCUGAAAAGUCAUGACCUUUCAAAAAAUUCACAAUCCUUUUGAAAAGUAACAACUUUUUGGAAAAGUCAUAACUAUUUGGAAAAGUUACAACUAUUUGAACGGUCACAAUUCAUCAAAAAAUCACAAUUCUUUGAUAAAAAUCACAAUUAAGUUAGAAAUAUUAUUAGUAAUUUAACAAGAGUUCAUGUUUUUAAGUUAAUAUAGAUAUAUAUAGAUAUAUAAGGCAUAUAAAAACCCUACACAGAGCUUUCAUCUUUUUGUCUUUGCUUCAACACUCACCAUUGACACUGCUGACGGCCGAAUAGCUCUCCCUUCUUGCUUGCAGAAACAAUGGCCCCCAAAACCAAAUCCCGCUUAGUAGACCAGCCUCCUUCUGCAUCGUCCUCUGAAGAACAAGAAGAGGUGGAGGAAUCCCAGGAAGAAGAAGAACAGCAUUCGGGGGAAGAAACUGAAGAGGAUGAAGAACCUAUGAUAGCCCCUCCAGUUGUGAAGAGACCCAUCACUCAGAAACCAGUCCAAACCUCUCAGAAACCCCAAUUUUCUUCUGAGUCUGGCAGCGAGAAUGGGUCAGGUUCUGAAUUGGAAGCGAAAUCGGGUCAUUCCCCGCCUUCCCCUUCUGUAUCAGAUUUCACCAUUAAGCCGAUUGUUUCUGCCAAAGCUUCUUCCCCAUCGAAACCAGCAGGAAAGAGGCCGCAAGAGGCCCAGAAAGAGAAAGGGAGGAAGAAGCCCAAGACUGCAGAAGAAGAGGAUAAAAAAUCAGCUGCUACUCCUCGCAGUCUAUGGAACGAUGACGACCAACUUGCUCUGCUCAAAGGUGUUGCUCAAUACAAGACGGUAAAAGGUAUGGAACCUAAUGCGGAUAUGUCAGCUUUUCAUGAAUUCAUUAGAGGGAAGUUGCUGGUUGAGGUUUCAAAGAGUCAACUCAGUGAAAAGCUAAAGAGGUUAAAGAAGAAAUUUUUGACUAAUGCGAAAGGUGGUGAGGAACCAGUUUUCAUGAAGGGUCAGGAGUUUUUAGUUUUUGAGCAUUCAAAGAGAAUUUGGGGUGCCCCUGAAACUAGUGAUGGAGUUAAGGAAAUUGUUACCAAUAGCACUAAUGGCAAAGCUAAAAAGACUGUUGAGGUUAAGAAGAAUUCUGAACCUAAGAGCAGUGCUAAAGUUAGCAAACCCAAGGAUGAUGAGAAACAUAAGGAAGAAGAGAAUCAGGUUGCUGUAAAAGAGGUGGUUAAGGAGGAUAUAGUUAAGGGUGAUCCACAGGAUUUCCAGUCCGAAUAUCCACGUUUGGCUGCAUCAUUUGAAAGU
rnacentral:lncRNA from 1 species